rnacentral:rRNA from 1 species
GACGAACGCUGGCGGCGUGCUUAACACAUGCAAGUCGAACGACGUGGCGAACGGGUGAGUAACGCGUAAUCAACCUGCCCUUCAGAGGGGGACAACAGUUGGAAACGACUGCUAAUACCGCAUACUGAAGGAGGGGAUUGCGUCUGAUUAGCUAGUUGGAGGGGUAACGGCCCACCAAGGCGAUGAUCAGUAGCCGGGCUGAGAGGAUGAACGGCCACAAUGGGACUGGGAAACGUCCCAGACGCCUACGGGAGGCAGAAGUGGGGAAGCUUCCGAAAUGGACGAAAGUCUGACGGAGCAACGCCGCGUGAGUGAUGACGGCAUUCGGGUUGUAAAGCUCUGUUAAUCGGGACGCGGUACCGGAAUAGAAAGCCACGGCUAACUACGUGCCAGCAGCCGCGGUAAUUC